UACGGAGGAUCCAAGCGUUAUCCGGAAUCAUUGGGUUUAAAGGGUCCGUAGGCGGUUUUGUAAGUCCGUUGUGAAAUCUGGUCGCUCAACGAUCAAACGGCCAUUGAUACUGCAGAACUUGAAUUAUUGUGAAGUAACUAGAAUAUGUAGUGUAGCGGUGAAAUGCUUAGAUAUUACAUGGAAUACCAAUUGCGAAGGCAGGUUACUAACAGUGGAUUGACGCUGAUGGACGAAAGCGUGGGGAGCGAACAGG
rnacentral:rRNA from 1 species